CGGAAAAAUCCAUUAAGCUCAGAUUCAGCCUCACCAACGCGAGCAAAACAGCUUUUAUUAACGCCUUAGCUGCGAUGGGGGAGAACUCCAGGCUGUCAGCUGUGACUGCAGGAAGGCUCUGGGUGCUGUGCUCAGGAUGCAUAAUAAAAAAGGAUGAGGAAUUGCACGUCAACAUGUCAGUGGAAAGUGAGGACACGAGAUAUUGUUUACCAACGUUGUGCUUCAGUCAGGAUGGAAAAGCUGUCAAAUGGGAAGGAUGGAACAGAGCUUGAGUUUCUCUCUGGUUGGGCUUUCCUGUCCCUCCAUGAUUUCUUUUUUUUCCCCUUCUUUCAUGCUGGGCAGCACUGGGUUGCUCUGGUUGUGUUUGGCAGAGGCCAUAGGAGCCCCAUUAUGACUCCUAGUUCUGUGCCACCUCCUGUGCCAGCUGUGCUGUGACCUUGCUGUGACCAUCCCACGCCAUGCAUGUCCCCUCUGCCACACAGCCACCAGACGGGGUUGGUGUCAGCUCUGCUCUGCUCAGCUCAAAUGUGUGCAGACGUUUCCUCUCCUGCUUCAUUUUACAGUGCUCUUCAGGAUAAAUUUCCAUUAUGUGUUUGGGCAGAUGCUGAGCAUAGCCCCAGUUUAAUCAGGGAUGCAAGGAGACAGCAUCCUCACACCUUGCAGAAGCUGCGAUCUCCUGAUCUUCUCUGCCAGAAAUGCAGCAGGAGCAGAAAGAAAGCAUCACUCGCUGCUGGGCAGCAGCUUUCUCUAUCAUCAGCCUUGCUGGCCUUCCACCUCUGCGUGGGCUUCAUUUAGCAGGAACAAAAAUCACCCCCUGGUUUGUAGGAUUUUCCUGGAAAGAAGAUUCCCAGCACAUAAGAGAGUUUACAGAGCCUACAGAGAAGCUCUGAGGCUUCUUCAAAAAAAUUCCAUGCAGGCUGGGAGAGAUGUUUUGAACGGAGAAUGA
rnacentral:lncRNA from 1 species